AUGUUUUUCUCUACAGUCAAUAUUAAAUGGACAAAAGUUGGAUACAUUUGACUGAUAGAUUUAGGUCCAUCGAAUACAGAGAAGUGGUACAACAAUUCAUUACAAUGGCACGAGCUCAUGCAAACACUACAAAUAGUAUUAGGUGUCCGUGUCGUACAUGUCACAAUAACUUUUUUCGACCCAUAGAUGUGGUGGAAGGUCACUUGUUUACCAAAGGAAUGGAUCCUAACUAUACAGAAUGGAUCUUUCAUGGGGAGGAUGAGCACCUUCCGGAGUUCUGGGAUUCUGAUGAGGAUGAUGUUGUGGUUGAUCAAGGCCAAACUCAUGAAUAUGUUGAUGACAUGGACGAGAUAUUAGAUGACAUUCGUGCCAACAUGUUUGCCGGUGCAACGUCAACUGAUCCUAGCAUCCAUGUAGAUUCCACCUAUGUAGAGCCUACUUCAAAAUCAUUUGAUCAAUUAUUGGAGGAUUCCUCACGCCCACUCUAUCCUGAAUGUGAGAAAUUCUCAAAAUUAUCGUUUAUUGUGAAGUUGCUGCAUAUAAAGACCAUUGGGGUCUGGACUGUCAAAUCAUUUGACAUGCUUUUGAAGUUGUUGAAAGAAGUAUUUCCCAAUGCCCUUUUACCCAACACAUACCGCGAGACACAAAGAUUAGAGCGGGGUUUGGGCUUCUCUUAUGAGAAGAUACAUGCAUGCCAAAACGAUUGCAUACUAUUCUGGAAAGAAAAUAGCAACAUGAAUAACUGUCCUAAAUGCGGUAAAUCCAGAUGGGCCCUAGAAAUAAGUCAACAAAAAAAGAUUCCCUACAAAGUACUCAGAUAUUUCCCCCUGACACCAAGGUUGCAAAGGUUGUUUACAUCCAAGAAGACAGCACUGGCUAUGAGAUGGCAUAAAGAACAGCUUGUUGAUGAUAAUGAUGUUAUGAGGCAUCCUUCUGACUCCAUAGAAUGGAAGAAAUUCAAUGAAGAGCAUGCCUCAUUCGCUAGAGAUGUACGAAAUGUGCGCCAUGGAUUAGUAAGCGAUGGAUUCAACCAUUUCAAUAAUAUGGCAAGGCCAUAUAGUAUAUGGCUAGUUAUACUUUGUCCUUACAAUCUACUCCCGUGGAUGUGCAUGAAAGAUCCUUUCUUAAUAAUGUCCAUCUUAAUUCCUGGACCAAAGGCACCGGGCAAUGAUAUCGACGUGUAUUUGCAGCCUCUCAUAGAUGAAUUGUUAGAUUUGUGGGAAAAUUGUGUAGAUACGUAUGAUGCCUCCACCAAAGGCAUGUUUAAAUUACACGCAGCAUUAUUGUGGACCAUCAAUGAUUUCCCUGCAUAUGAGAAUCUAUCUGGUUGGAGUACUAAGGGAAAGAUGGCUUGCCCAACUUGUAACGAGGACAUAGACUCGAUGUGGUUAACACAUGGCGAAAACAUUGUUACAUGGGAUAUCGUCGUUUUUUGCCAACAGGUCAUACUUGGAGGAAGAAGAAGUCUAUGUUUAAUGGCAAAGAUGAUCAUCGUAGGCCACCUAGAGAACUGUCGGCGCAAGAUGUACUCGACCAACUAAAUUUUGUUGGCCAUGUACAAUUUGUGAAAGGUGGAAAGAAGAGAAAACGCCGACCUGAUGAGUUAAAUUGGACGAAAAAAAGCAUCUUUUUCCAAUUACCUUAUUGGUCAUCAUUGAAAUUGCGACAUAACCUUGAUGUCAUGCAUAUCGAGAAGAACAUUUGUGAUAAUAUAUUGGGAACGUUGAUGAGUAUUCCAGGCAAAUUAAAAGAUUCAAUCAAUGCACAUAGGGAUUUGUAUAGUCUUGGUUUAAGAAAUGAAUUGCACUUACAUGAAGAUGGAGCAGGUUGGUCUAUGCCACAUGCAUGUUACACAUUGCAUGGAGAUGAGAGGAAAAGCUUUUGCAUGUGGUUACAAUCUGUCAAAUUCCCAGAUGGAUUUGCAAGCAAUAUUGCGAGAUGUGUUACUGUAAAUGAUUGCAAAAUACAAGGAAUAAAGAGUCAUGACUGCCAUAUCUUCCUACAACGGCUACUUCCUGUUGCAAUAGGUGGGGCUUUGUGACUAGAUAUUCGACUGGCUUUGACUGAGCUAAGUACCUUCUUCAAACAAUUGUGCACGCACAUUGCCUAUAGAGGUCUUACAACGCCUUCAGGCUGAUAUUCCAAUUAUCCUCUGUAAACUGGAGAUGAUAUUCCCCCCUGUUUUCUUUGAUGUAAUGGUACAUUUAGCUGUUCAUCAACCUCAUGGGGCAUUGUAUGGAGGACCUGUGCAGUAUAGGUGGAUGUAUCCGUUUGAGAGGUACUUGGGAAAAUUCAAGCGAUACGUCCGAAAUAAGGCCCAUGCGGAAGGCUCAAUAGCUGAGGCCUACAUUCAUGUAGAAUGCCUUACAUUUUCAUCUAUGUAUCUCCAUGAUAUCGAGACUAGAUUCCAUAGAGAAGAACGUAACGUGGAUGUAUGUGAAGAGCGUGAACAAAUGGAUUUAUCGGUAUUUUCACAGAAGGUGCGACCAUUGGGGUCAUCCACCUCUUAUCGACCCAAUGAGGCAAUGUUUGAAACUGCAUGUUGGUAUGUCCUCAACAAUUGUGCAGAGAUUGUACAAUACAUUGAGUAACCAACCUUCGAUCAUCUUAUGCACCACAUCUAUGUAGAAAUGCUUAUAAAUUGAGUUGGUUUUUUUUUUUUUAAUAUUUGCAGUAAGCACUACAACAAAAUUAAAGGAGAAACUGCACAUAAUGCAGAUCGUCUACAUCAAACACAAUUUCCUAUAUGGUUCAAGGAGCGUAUCAAAGCAUUGCGCCAUUCAAGUCCUAUUGAAGUUUCCGAUGAGCUAUAUGCCAUUUCAUGUGGACCUGACCCAUUGCUUGCAUCAUAUACUGGUUGCAUUAUGAAUGGUGUUAGGUUUCACACAAAGGAGCGUGAACAAUAUCGAUUAUCACAAAAUAGCGGGGUAGUUGUUUCGGGGGAGCAUGAAGGCAAGCCUGUAGACUUCUACGGAGUUCUAACAGACAUUUUUGAACUCGACUACAUGGGCUGGCGGCAUGUUUACUUGUUCAAGUGUGAUUGGUUUGACGUUGGUGAGAGUUCGUGUCGGGAUUCACCAGACUAGUGUCAACACAUGUCGAAAAAGGUACAAGGACGAGCCAUUUGUCCUUGCCUCACAGGCCUCUCAAGUAUUUUAUCUUAAUGAUAGGAGCUUAGGGAGGAAUUGGCAUGUAGUACAAAAGGUUACGAGCAGAAAUGUCUAUGACAUUCCACGCGUAGAAGACUUCAAUGAGGAUGAGUCGAGUGUAGAUGAAGCGUAUCAAGAUGAUGAAUAUUCGAUGCCUUCCCAUUCUAUACAUCACGACGAUACAAGCUUAGAAGUUCCAUUGCAUCGAUUAGAUGUUGAACCAUUAAGAGUUGAUCCCCAAAGAAUGUUAGCACAACCGAUUCAACCCCAUGCUCAUGAAGAGUUAUUCGAUGACGACUCACCUUCUUUAUUGGGUGAUGGGAAUAGUGAUAACAUGUCUGAUAUAAGCGAAGAAGAUGUGGAUAGCGACCCUACAUCACUCUCUAUGGAAUAACUUUUCAUCUAAAGUUGAUAUUUUGUUUAUAUAUGUAACUUAUAUAAAUGUACACACAAUGGCAAUUUCAAAUAUUUUAUAUAUGUCCUCUUCUCCUUACCUCUAUAUGUGGAUACUGACCCUACAUCAUGCUAUAACUAGUUAGUUGAUAGUUGCAUCACACAAUGGCAUUUUCAAACAUUGUAUAUUCAGCGAUCUCAUCUUUAACAGCAUGCUUGAUAGUUUGUUUUGUCCCUUG